UCUCCCAGCGGUUUCAUGUAGAUGUUAAAAAGCAUUGGAGAAAGUAUGGAGCCUUGAGGGACACCAUAAGCUCAGAUUUUGAAGAACAGCAGUCUCCAAUCGACACCAUCUUGUAUCUAUCUGAGAGGUAGGAGUGGAACCACUGUAAAACAGUGCCUCCCACCCCAAACCCCCUCAGACAUUCCAGAAGGAUACUAUGGUCAAUAGUAUCGAAAGCCGCCGAGAGAUCCAAAAGGACCAACAGAGUCACACUUCCUCUGUCAAUUCCCAAUUGGAGAUCAUCCAUCAGGCCGACCAAAGCAGUCUCCAUCCCAUAGCCUGCCUGAAAACCAGUUUGAAAUGGGUCCAGAUAAUCAGUUUCCUCCAAGACUGCCUGAAGCUGAGAGGCUACCACCCUCUCAAUGACCUUGCCCAGCCAUGGGAGAUUGGAAACAGGCCUAUAAUUGCUCAGCUCUGAGGGAUCUAAUGCAGGCUUCUUUAGAAGAGGUCUAAUGAUUGCCUCCUUAAGACAAGGAGGCAUCCUGCCCUCAGAGAAGCAUUUAUGAUUUCCACCAGGCUGUUUACAACAAACUCCCUGCUAGAUCAAGCAAGCCAUGUUGGACAAGGGUCAAGAGAACAAGUGGUAAGCCUCACUGCUCCAAGCAGCUUGUCCACAUCCUCAGGAGUCACAAACUGAAACUGAUCCAGUCGAAUCACAUAAGAGGAGUCGUUGGGCACCUCCAGCUCAGACAUCAAAUUAAUUGUGGAGUCUCCAUCUAGGUCGGCCCGAAUCCGAGAGAUUUUAUCUGUGAAAAACUCUUUAAACACAUCACAGCAGGUAACUGAUGACUCCAAAUUCUGGUUCCGGGGGUGGUGGUUGUGGCAGAUCCUAAUCUCCUCACAACCCUGAACAACUCAACUGGAUGUGAACUCGCAGAGGCAAUACAGGCAGAAAAGAACUGCCUCUUUGCCGCACGUAUUGCCUGAGCAUAGAUGUUUAGAUGUGCUCUAUGUCGCAAUCUGUCAGAUUCAAGUCGAGUCCACUUGCACUUCAGCCCCCGUAGAUCUUCCGUAUAUCAAGGGGCUAAAUUUGAAGCGGGUCAGAGGGGACGCUUGGGAGCAAUCGUGUCUACUGCCCUGGUGAGCAAGUUGUUCCAAUUCUCAACCAGGGCAUCAACAAGAUCACCAGCAAAGCCAACAUUAAAUCUCUCCAAGGCUUCUUGGAAUCUUAGUGGAUCCAAUAACCUCGAAUGGAACCGGGCCAGUUUGGUCCGGUCCAUGUGGGUUCCUUCGCGCCCCACUGGCCUUCCUCAUCACUGCUGCAGCCGGUCAUAGACAUAACUCUCUUCCAAGCAAAGAAGCAAUAUCUUUGGAUUUCCAGCUGAUCAAACUGAGGAAGCUGUCUGGGAUCCAUCUUGGCAGGAAGAACCAAAGAUUCUGAGAUUAUUGCCUCCUCUUCACAGGCAACCUAACAGGCACAGCUUGGAAACCAAGCUGGUCCAAAAC